GACAGAGGUGCCGAGCGUUAUGCGGAAUCACUGGGCUUAAAGCGUGUGUAGGCGGGAUUGUAAGUACCUUGUGAAAUCCCACGGCUUAACCGGGGAACUGCUUGGUAUACUGCGAUUCUUGAGCCACUUAGGGGCUACCGGAACAAAUGGUGGAGCGGUGAAAUGCGUAGAUAUCAUUUGGAACGCCAAUGGUGAAAACAGGUAGCUGGGAGUGUGCUGACGCUGAGACACGAAAGCCAGGGGAGCGAACGGG
rnacentral:rRNA from 1 species